rnacentral:rRNA from 1 species
AUACGUAGGGUGCAAGCGUUAAUCGGAAUUACUGGGCGUAAAGCGUGCGCAGGCGGUUUUGUAAGACAGAGGUGAAAUCCCCGGGCUCCACCUGGGGACUGCCUUUGUGACUGGAAGGCCAGAGUACGGCAGAGGGGGGUGGAAUUUCGCGGGUGGCAGUGAAAUGCGUAGAUAUGCGGAGGAACACCGAUGGCGAAGGCAAUCCCCUGGGCCUGUACUGACGCUCAUGCACGAAAGCGUGGGGAGCAAACAGGAUUAGAUACCCUGGUAGUCCACGCCCUAAACGAUGUCAACUGGUUGUUGGGUCUUCAUUGACUCAGUAACGAAGCAAACGCGUGAAGUUGACCGCCUGGGGAGUACGGCCGCAAGGUUGAAACUCAAAUGAAUUGACGGGG